GACGAACGCUGGCGGCGUGCCUAAUACAUGCAAGUAGAACGCUGAAGGAGGAGCUUGCUUCUCUGGAUGAGUUGCGAACGGGUGAGUAACGCGUAGGUAACCUGCCUGGUAGCGGGGGAUAACUAUUGGAAACGAUAGCUAAUACCGCAUAAGAGUAGAUGUUGCAUGACAUUUGCUUAAAAGGUGCAAUUGCAUCACUACCAGAUGGACCUGCGUUGUAUUAGCUAGUUGGUGGGGUAACGGCUCACCAAGGCGACGAUACAUAGACGACCUGAGAGGGUGAUCGGCCACACUGGGACUGAGACACGGCCCAGACUCCUACGGGAGGCAGCAGUAGGGAAUCUUCGGCAAUGGACGGAAGUCUGACCGAGCAACGCCGCGUGAGUGAAGAAGGUUUUCGGAUCGUAAAGCUCUGUUGUAAGAGAAGAACGAGUGUGAGAGUGGAAAGUUCACACUGUGACGGUAUCUUACCAGAAAGGGACGGCUAACUACGUG
rnacentral:rRNA from 1 species